rnacentral:rRNA from 1 species
UCGGGAAUUUUGGGCAAUGGGCGAAAGCCUGACCCAGCAACGCCGCGUGAAGGAUGAAGUAUUUCGGUAUGUAAACUUCGAAAGAAUAGGAAGAAUAAAUGACGGUACUAUUUAUAAGGUCCGGCUAACUACGUGCCAGCAGCCGCGGUAAUACGUAGGGACCAAGCGUUGUUCGGAUUUACUGGGCGUAAAGGGUGCGUAGGCGGCAUAUCAAGUCACUUGUGAAAUCUCCGGGCUUAACUCGGAACUGCCAAGUGAUACUGAUGUGCUAGAGUGCAGAAGGGGCAAUCGGAAUUCUUGGUGUAGCGGUGAAAUGCGUAGAUAUCAAGAGGAACACCUGAGGUGAAGACGGGUUGCUGGGCUGACACUGACGCUGAGGUGCGAAAGCGUGGGGAGCAAACAGGAUUAGAUACCCACGUAGUCCCUGAGCGGGCUGGCAAGGCGCAU